CUGCUCAGGUGUACACACACACACACACACACACACACACUCAUGAUCUGUGACCACACCCCCGUCUCCCUCUACGCACCUCCUCACACCUCCCGACCCCCCACACUCUCAUCUCACCCUGACACACUGUGCUCACAGACUCACACUCCGCCACGCGGAGCCCUGGCCUGCCACACACUCCCGUCCGCGCCCACUACAGGCUCAGCUCCUGCUGAACGCUGCCUUCUCAGCUCCCCGUUCUGUCUGCCCCUCUGCCCAGGCCCCCACCCAGCGCCCUCCGCCCACUCACUCUCAUCUCCCCACACUGGCCGCCCGCUUCCCUCAAACCCUAACGAUCACAACACACACGGCCACACCUGUUCCCAGAAGGAGCUCUGAAGCCAUCUGGGCCUCCAUGGAAACCAACAGUGACCAGAUUUUCUUCACCCGAGACAUAACAAACGGAGCCUCCUUCAUUUACCGAGCGCUGAUGUUGUCCAGGUUUAUGCUGGACGAGUUCUCAGGGGUCUCCGCAGUCUCCCUGUCCAUGAUGAAUAAGCCUGUUGUUCAGAGAAGGUACCGAGGGGCGGAACCUCUCCUUGGCCACGCGGUAGUGGGCACAGCUGGGUCAUCUGGGGGCGCAAAGGCUGAGGUCAGAGGACACACAGAGGCGACUGUGGUUGCUGGAUGCUGGAGGUGGUCUCUUCCUGCCCUGCUCUUCUGAUUGCUGGGUGGUGUCCCUUCUACCCCUGGCCUGUUCCUUGGUGGAUUGAUCGGGUGCCAGCCUUCUCACCGCUCUGCCAUUCUGACUCUAAGUGACACAGGGGAGCUCCGCGUGUCUGCAGGCUGAGCUCUCUAUGGAUCCACUCUAUUUCCAGAACACAAGGGGGAGACACCGAGGGAGCAGCUCUCCAAGAUGACCACUCAUCAACCUGGGGUCAGCACCUGCCUUCGCAUGCCGCCUCUCCAUCCCUGCCCCUGCCCCGUGCAUCUCAGCCUCGGCUCCCGGCCUCCGGCUGGUGGACAGGAAUGGAGAGUUGGAGGCCUGCAGGACCAGGGUUUGAAUCCCAGCCCUCAACACACCAGCUGUGACUUUGGACAAAUCCCCGCAAAUUCCCUGGAGCCUGGGUCUUCAGUCUGCAGCGCGGAGUCGUAGCGACGCUCACCUGCCACGAGUGAAGUGUGACGUGAUCCUGUGAUCCUCGUGUGACGUUUUAUCAUGGUUAAAGCUGACUGAGUGUGGACAUCGCCAUAUAAAUAUCUACAUGCCUCUAUCUUGAAAGGCUGCUGCAGGUCUUGCUUCCUUCUAGAAGGUCCGGGACUCGGAGGCCCCACUGGGGUGCGAGGUGCUGUCCUGCGUAUCUGCAGCAGGGUCUGAGCCAUUGUGCUUGACGGAGAAGCAGGCUGAGGCCCGUGGGUCCACUCAGAUCCAGGACUUGAACGUCACUGUGGCAGGAGGGUUCCAGAGGCACGCCCCGACUGAGUUAGGAUAACAGAAAUAACUGUUGAAAUCGCAGCCUCUCCUCUCAGCGAACAGACCUUGCUACGUGUCAGGCCCCGUGCUGACGGUCGCACACAUUAUCUCAUUUAACUACGGUGUCUCGAGGGGGUUGGGACUAUGAUUCCCUGCAUUUUUGAGAAAACUGGGGCACAGAGAGGUUGAGAAGUUGUCCCAGAUCCCAUGGCUAGGGAGUGGUUGCAUAAGAAAGCAAGUCUGAGUCACCAAAGUUCUAAAUCUUAAAGGAAAGUUGUUGUGUGGCUUAGCUUUGGGGCGUAGGUGGACCGGGUUUAAUUGAGCGAGACAGCUCCGUGGGUGCCGGGGGCUUUUCUUUAGCCCCCUCCCUGUUUAUUGGCUCUGCAUCAGCGGCUUUGCUGAGACCAGCGGCCCCUUUGUGCGGAAGAGCCCCGCAGCCACUGAAGUGCUGUUGUGCAGCGUGGGAGAGAGACCCCCAGGCCCUGUGCGAAUCCAAGACUGCAUCAGAAGCAAUCCGCCUCUGUCUCUCCUCCUUCUUGGCUUCAGUACGCGAGUCCCUGGCUUCUGCUGCUUUUCUUCUUUGUCGGGGGUGGGCCGACAUUUCCUGUACUCGUCUCUCCUCCCGUUCCUGACCCUCGUCCCUGGGCUUCACGUGCCCGUGACCAUCAUGGAUCUCAGACGUUGGCGUCCUGUCGCGAUUGGAUUGCGCGUAGCUUCUGUUUAGUUUCUGAAGUUCAUUGCUUUCUCCUCUGUUGCCAUCCCCACCUUCUCCUUCCCACAAGGCGCGACCCUUCACCCGGUCGCCAUGUGGAUUCCGCUCAGCGGCCCGUGUUUAUCUGCACACGCGCAAAGUGCGUGCACCCUUGGGCACUGCUGGGGGUGGGUGUGUCUGAAACUCUGCGUGAAUGACAUUGUGUCGUCUGGUUCCGUUUUCCCUCCGAGCGGUCGUUGGAGACUCAUCCUUGUCAUCCACCAGUCUAGCUCCUGUUUCUGAAGGAGUCACGGCCCUUCACGGGGUCUUACACCACACUUCUCUGUUCCCCUCGGAUGUGCAACUGGGUUUCCUCCAACUCGUCGUUACUACCACAAAACUGAGAUGAUUUUCCUUAACACAAAGCUGACUGAUUCAUGUCUGCAGGAGUUGGCUGGAAGAGUCCCAGUGAUACGUGAGAGGUGCAUUUCCACAUGUCCUCUGCCAAUAGAACCUUGUGCCUAUCUGGAGGGUGUGAAGUGGCAUCUCAGUGAUGUCCUUCACAUCAUGAAAAGCUGGGAGAUGAAGCCUCUCACCAGGUGGUCAAGAGCUUAUUUCACUGUGAUGAAAAAUACCUUUAUCGUCACCUGAAGAGCACGACCAUUCAAAAGCCUAAUUGGGGUGAAGAAAAUAGAUGAAAAAAUAAUCCGUAAAUCUCAGCCACCGGAGACCAUCCUGGCCUUGGGGAGAAGGCGAGGACUUUGCAGCCAAUCAGGUCGUCAGAUUCAGGCUCUGUUCCUCUCAGCCUGAGUCACCUUGGGGACGUUUCUUUGUCCUUCUGAGAAGGGGAUGAAUUCAUUGCACAAGUCUAGGGGGCACCCCAAAUCCUGGGGGGUGCUUUUCCAUAGCAUUUUCCAUUCAUGGCUCCUGCUGGGGUUGCAUAGGGCAAUGCCCCAGCCUCCCAACAUUGUACUCCUCAGUUACACCACGAGAGGCCUAAAAUAAUAAUCGUCCUAAGAAUCGCUUUCAAAUGAGAGGAGGUAAUGAAUGCAGAGAGGCACCUGACAGAUAGCAAGUGCUCGACAGCAUGCACCACCUCCCUACAUUAUUUUUCAGGAAUUGGAGGAAAUGGAGAUGAAUAAGAUGCAGCAUCCGCCAGUGCUUGGGAAACCAAGCAUAAAGAUAGAUGAUGAUAUCAAAGUUGGUGAGACAAUGUGAAACAGGAGAUCACCAGGUGACGCUUGUCUACAUAUUAGAUGAGGGGCAGAGCAGAUCAGCACCGCGACUCCCCGGGCGGGAGGUUGUCUUGGGCGAAGUCCCCAGAGGCAGCUUCUGAAAUGAGGAGUCACGUGCAAAUGAAGGAAGUGCUCCUGGUAGAAACUGGCCGAGGGAUGGGGAGAGCAGGGCAGGGGAGGAAGUGAAGCGAGGCCCAGUCCUGGAGGGACGCUCUGGAACAUAAACCGUACCUCGGAGUCUGCCUCUGCCUGCAGCAAGGAGCUUCCUGUCUUCUGCCCUGGUCAGGCCUGGGCUAGGGCCGCUGUAGGAGGGCACGUCCCUGGGCAUUUCUGGGUCCCUCUGUGGUUUUCUAUAGCAAGUCGCAAGGAUCAGCUACUGAGAAAAGGGCACAGACGCUGGUGAACAGAUGCAUGCUCCAAAUGGCAUUUCCCCCAAAUGGCGGCAGCAAUAUUUCGCAUCCCCUGAGCUCUCCAAGGACACGGCUGCUCUCCCAUUGAAAGGUGGAGUCUAUCGAUCUGGGGUCUCCCUGAUGAGUAGGCGACAGCAGAGGGCGUGUUAUUUAACUUAUAAGGCUGGCCAUAAAAAGUGAUGGCUCUCUCCCUUGAGACGCUUCUCCUUAGAGUCCAGAC